rnacentral:rRNA from 1 species
GACAGAGGUGCCAAGCGUUAGGCGGAAUCACUGGGCUUAAAGCGUGUGUAGGCGGCUCGUUUAGUACCUUGUGAAAUCCCACGGCUCAACCGUGGAACUGCUUGGUAUACUGGUCGUCUUGAGCCAUCUAGGGGCUGUCGGAACAAAUGGUGGAGCGGUGAAAUGCGUAGAUAUCGGGAAGAACACCCGUGGCGAAGGCGGCUCUCUGGGACGGUACUGACGCUGAGACGCGAAAGCGUGGGGAGCGAACAGG